rnacentral:rRNA from 1 species
GAUGAACGCUGGCGGCGUGCCUAAUACAUGCAAGUCGAGCGAACAGACGAGGAGCUUGCUCCUCUGACGUUAGCGGCGGACGGGUGAGUAACACGUGGAUAACCUACCUAUAAGACUGGGAUAACUUCGGGAAACCGGAGCUAAUACCGGAUCAUAUAUUGAACCGCAUGGUUCAAUAGUGAAAGACGGUUUUGCUGUCACUUAUAGAUGGAUCCGCGCCGCAUUAGCUAGUUGGUAAGGUAACGGCUUACCAAGGCAACGAUGCGUAGCCGACCUGAGAGGGUGAUCGGCCACACUGGAACUGAGACACGGUCCAGACUCCUACGGGAGGCAGCAGUAGGGAAUCUUCCGCAAUGGGCGAAAGCCUGACGGAGCAACGUCGCGUGAGUGAUGAAGGUCUUCGGAUCGUAAAACUCUGUUAUUAGGGAAGAACAAAUGUGUAAGUAACUAUGCACGUCUUGACGGUACCUAAUCAGAAAGCCACGGCUAACUACGUG